CCCUUAGAUGUUCUGGGCCGCACGCGUGCUACACUGAGUGGAUCAGCGGGUCAGGUUGCGCGAAAGCGUUUCCUAAUCUUUAAAUCCGCUCGUGAUGGGGAUUGACGGUUGCAAUUUUCUGUCAUGAACGAGGAAUACCUUGUAAGCGCGGGUCAUCAUCCUGCGCUGAAUACGUCCCUGCCCUUUGUACACACCGCCCGUCGCUCCUACCGAUUGAGUGGUCCGGUGAGGCUUUGGGAUCUGAGCGGAAAGAGCGUUUCGCUGUUUCUGCUCGGAAAACUCAGUCGAACCUUAUCAUUUAGAGGAAGGAGAAGUCGUAACA
rnacentral:rRNA from 1 species